UUGUGGCCAAGUUUAGUAAAAGUUUUAGAAGUCCUAAUUCACCCCCCCCCCCUCUUAGGCGUCACCCGUUUCCUUCAUAUCUUCAAGUCUUUUUAAAACUAAUUUGCUAAACUAUUAUUUAGAUUAAUUCAAAUAAAAAAUGUCGAUAUCUUUCUACUCUUUGAGUAGCUUUUCUACAUCUUCGUUGUUAACAUCAUUGUCCAUCUUUUGCUAGCGAAAAAACCAAAAUAGAGUAAGGUUAUAUUUAGAUUUCUAAUUAGAUAAGUUGAUAGAGGAUUUUUUUCAACUAAAAUCUAUGUUUCUAACAAUUAUAAAGGAUAUAAGAAUCAUGUGUUUGCAAUUUUCUCUCUAUUUUCUGCCCUCCUAAAAGUAUACAUUGUUCUUUCAUUGUAUGAUUUGGAUAUUGCGAGAGAAAGAUAGUUAUGUUGAAGGAUGUCAUCAUGGUAUAAGCCUUUUAUCAAUUUGUAAAAUGCUAUUAUUAUAUUUAUGUAGGUCAUAUUGCUUUGAUGCAUGAAAAACUUAGAAAGUUUUGUUUUAUUUUCUUUCCAAAAUAGUUAUUUACAUGUGAAUAAGUGAACAUAAUAGUCACUUACGUUCAAUUUGCAUAUGAACAUUACCUUAUGCCCCGAGAGGCAUUAUAUGUUUUUUACACAACCUAUAAUUUAUAGCUACUCUAAGGGCAUGUAUAAUGAAGAUACACUGGAAUGGUUUUCCAAGUGUAACAAACAACUAAUAGACUCUACCAUAUAAUGAAGUUUCUAUAAGUGCAGUCUUAAUUGAGUGUGUAUCCAUAUACAUGUUGUCUUUCAAAAUUAUACCACUUACAUUAAAUAUAUCAUAUGAUAUAUCAUAUUGAAGGUAAUUUUUUGACUAUAUCACAGUUGAGCUUGAAAUUGGUGAUCCUAUCAAUAAAAUAUAUGUUCAAUUAAAUCAUACUUAAGCGCGAUAUGCUUUGAGUUAUCCCAUAUUUUGGUGGUCGAGCUCAACGUUGUAAAGGCAGACCGACGGUCGUUGGUGUUCCCUUCUUCAUGGUUGCUGUCGUUUAGUAGAGCCAAAAGGAAGUGAGAUUUCAAGGAGCAUUUUAUGGUGAAUAGGAGGGAGGAACACGCACCGAUUGAUUUCAUGCCAUGAAGCACACCACCAGACAAGCAAUCGACAAGGCGAUGUGUGCAAUGGGGCAAGCUUUCAUUCCAACUAGGGGAAUAAUCCAAAGACGUCUCUCCAAUAGGAGGAGGUGCGAUUCAAGCUAGGGGAAGAGGCCAGAGACGUCUCUUCGUGAAGCAGUGGCUGCAAAGAAUCAUCACAAAGAGAGCCAAAAAGAAGUAAAGUAGUUUGGAUCAAAAGAGCCAAAGUUGGGUCAGACUCGGCAUCACCGGACAGUCCGGUGUGCACCGCAUAUGUUCGGUGCUGGCCUGGUCGGCUGACCCCAACUAGCCGCUCUUGGGUUUUUCUUGGGCGCACUGGAUAUAAUUCACUGGAUAGUCUGGUGUGCACCGGACAUGUCCGGUAGGCUACGCGGCCAACGGCUCUUCGCUCGCAUCAAUGGUCGGCCGCGUGAUCGACGCCAGCCACGUCAGCACGCCAGCGGUCAGGAGGGUCACGUACAUGUUUGGUGUGCCACCGGACAGUCCUGUGCCCACCCGAAAAGGAAGGUGGCCAAUCAGACGAUUCGGUGGUCGUUGCAGACAGAGUGUCUGGUGUGCCACCGGACAGUUCGGUGCACCCAUGGAUAGAAGCCAAUAUGCGCUUUCCAAAGAAAGGAGCAAUGACUCCUUGGCCCCUUGAGGCUAUAAAAGAUGCCCCUAGGCGCCUCAACCAGCACACCAAGCAUUCUAAGAGCACACUACAACUCCGAGACUCUGCAACAAUGCCUUCGAAGUGUUUGAGAGAGAUUUGGGCGCUUUUUGAGUCGUUACUCUAUCAUUUUGUUGUUGCACUCUCUUCUUUGCAUUUGUGCGUGUUGUUGUUGCGCUGUGCUCUUGUGUGCGUACUCUACUCCCUCCCUUACUCUAAUUUGGAUUGUGAUCGUCUUGUGUAAGGUAUGAGAGGCUCCAAAUUGUGGAGAUUCCUCACAAAAUGAUAUUCAUGAUAUAAGGAAGAACUGUGGUACUCAAGUUUGAUCUUCGGAUCACUUGAGAGGGGUUGAGUGCAACCCUCAUCCAUUGGGAUGCACGCUUGACCGAACCACGGGAUAAAAAUUGUCGUGUCUCUGGUCUCUUUACUUUACUGCAAUUUGAGUCUUCGUUUGAGGUUAUACUUCACUUUCAUAUUGCUCCUAGUUUAAUUCACAUCUCAAGAGAGCAAUGAAGUGGAGAGUCUUUCUUUCUCUCCUAUACUCUCAAACUUGGUUUUAUUUCCUCUAAUUCAUAUUAUAGACCAAGUUUGUGUUGUUUUGAGCGAAAUUUGUAGGAUCGCCUAUUCAACCCCUCCUCUGGGUGCUCUCACCUGCACCUCACCCAUUCAUCUCCCAUAAGAUGAUAUUGGUGAUCGCGUGCUUUUCCAAGGCGGUCUCCAGCAGAUCUUGUAUAUGGUCGUGUAAAACAUCGGUUUGCAUUGUAGAAUAUAUUGUUCACAUAAUUAAGUUUGGAAUAGGAUAUGUGAUGGAAUGUAAGAUGAGCAAGCUGCUGAAGACCGCCUAAAUAUUGGGAAAGAUGUUACAACAAUACUCCAAAAACAUCCUCGAUAUAUAGAACCCUCUUAUUAGAUAUUAAUAUUUUUCCUUUCCUUUUUCUCCAACGGUCUUCCUUCUCCAACCACGUACUCCUCUGUCCUUUGUGUGGUCUCAGUCGCAUAGGAAUAGGAUAGUCAGGAUCUUGGGCCCGACUCUAGUGUAGCACGGAUAUCUGGCGACCAUCACAGAGCGAGCAUUGACGACCAACCAAGUCUCCCUAAGGUGUAGAUCAAGCAUCACAUUGUGGCUAUGGGGACAACAAGGUCAUGAACUGGUGACGUCCUCAAUAGCAAGGGCCAGCCACGUCGGGUUGUUGUGAGUAUCUAGGCCUCUAAGUAGUGUUUUGGUAAUUAAUGACAAUUAUGUGUGGACUAACUAUUUCUUAGAGAAAAUAAGAAUGCAAGUUGAUCCAUGCACAUGUGAGCAACAUAAAGUCUUGAAGGACUUUGAUGGAAACCGUUGGAUAACUCAAUGCAAAGGUAAACGAUAGAUUUUUCGCUUUGCCGAUCAAGAUGGGAUUAAAGAAGCUUAUUGACCAAGUUAGUAGGCUAAAUAGUCAUACUAUCAAGAGGGGUCAAUGAUGUUUUCUUGACAGGUUCUUAAGUGCCUCAUAAGCUCAUAUAGUUUAUGCAUUUGCAUAAGGGCCGACGGUGCUUUCAAUUGUGAAAGAAAAACCUAUUCAAAAGCGGAUUCUGAAAAGGGAGCUAAAUUGGGUAUUGUGGAUCGUCCGUUCCAGGUGGUCGGACCAUCUGCGGGGCUAACGGAGAUGUGUGCAAAAAUGUUGAGUUUUUGUGUGGUGCGUAGUCUUUGUAGUACAGAUCGUUCGUGAUUUCGGGCGGACCAUCUACAGUAGAGGUCAAAGGAGCCUCCGAGUUUGGCUAUGUCCCUGGUAGGUUUUAUAUGCCUAUUGUGGACCGUCCGGCCGGGGGACGCAGACGGUCUGCAAUACCUUUGAUGGAUUUGCGUAGGGACUAUGUGACUUUUGGGUGGUGGUUUGAUGACAGCUCGUGCCUAGGUCAAAGUCAAUCCACUUUCCUAGGUGAUGGAUCGUCCGUGCCUAGGUGCCGGACUGUUCAUGAGUAUGCAAAGCCAGGGUUCUAGGUUUCUAUGUGCCUCAAGGUCGUGGUUGGUGGACCGUCCGCGCGUCACUUUAUCUAACAACUUUGACAAGUUUCUAAAUAAAAAGUAGUUAUAUGUAUGGGCAGAAAAGGGACAUGUGGCCCAUAACGACUAGUUGGUUGGAGAUGUGCUAUAAAUAGUUGGUGUGUGUGUGUUGAACAUCCCUCUUGGCUAUUUGAACCAUGUAUUGAGCACAUUCAAGCCUUCCAAUCUAUCCCACUCACACACAUUGCUAGAGAUUGCAUUCUAGUGAGUUGGAGAGAGCUCUAGUGCAUUGCAUCACAUUGUUGAUUCUUGAGGCACUAGAAAGUUCAUCAAGCAAUCGUCAUCGACUUGUUACUUUUGAAGGUAUGAUUGUGAGAGGUCAUGGUGGUGAUUGUGAGAGGCUUGUGCUUGUCUCACUAGAGCGGUGAAAAGUGACACCGGUGGAAUUGACGUAUGAGUGAUUCUUUGAUCAUCGGACUCAACCGCUCAAGAGAUCAUGCAAAGCAUAGUCUUUAAUAGAGAAACAGUUGAUAAGCUAGCAUAGUAUUAUUCUUAACUGUUUUCAACAAAAUUCAAUUAAUAUC